rnacentral:rRNA from 1 species
UACGUAGGUGGCAAGCGUUGUCCGGAUUUACUGGGCGUAAAGGGCGUGCAGGCGGUUUGUUAAGUCUAGGGUGAAAGCUCCCGGCUCAACUGGGAGAGGUCCUUGGAUACUGGCGAACUUGAGGGAUGCAGAGGAAAGUGGAAUUCCCGGUGUAGCGGUGAAAUGCGUAGAGAUCGGGAGGAACAUCAGUGGCGAAGGCGGCCAUCUGGGACAACACUGACGCUGAAGCACGAAAGCGUGGGGAGCAAACAGG